rnacentral:lncRNA from 1 species
UCUCUCUCUCUCUCCACUCUCUGCUCACAAUGCCGCAUUACUUCCUUCUCUCUCAUCCAUUUUCACGCCACACAACAAACUAGAAGCAUUGCUCGCCUCCACCUGCUUUUAGAGAGAGAGAAGAGAGAGAGAGAGAGAGAGAGAUCCCGAAAACCAGAAGCAGAUCUGUGAGAAACAGAGCAUUCCCCUGUUUCAAACAUGGCUGAAAUAUCUGCAAGGAGCUUCAUGC